UUCGAGCUAGAAAUAGAGUCUACAAAGAUACAAGAAAAAUAUGCAUAAAGCUCAACGAGCUUAGCUAGUAUACAUACGGGCUACGGCUGUUCUAUUAGCCUCUUAUUUCGUGUGAAGGAUCCUAGUAGCAGCAGGAAAUUUCUUGUAGCUCAUGCAUAAACCACAUUAGNNNNNNNNNNNNNNNNNNNNNNNNNNNNNNNNNNNNNNNNNNNNNNNNNNNNNNNNNNNNNNNNNNNNNNNNNNNNNNNNNNNNNNNNNNNNNNNNNNNNNNNNNNNNNNNNNNNNNNNNNNNNNNNNNNNNNNNNNNNNNNNNNNNNNNNNNNNNNNNNNNNNNNNNNNNNNNNNNNNNNNNNNNNNNNNNNNNNNNNNNNNNNNNNNNNNNNNNNNNNNNNNNNNNNNNNNNNNNNNNNNNNNNNNNNNNNNNNNNNNNNNNNNNNNNNNNNNNNNNNNNNNNNNNNNNNNNNNNNNNNNNAUUUUCUUGUAGCUCAUGCAUAAACCACAUAAGCAUACCGUCUUCCAAACAUCAUCAUAGUCAUAGUUUAGAUCAUUCCCCUUAAAACCGACAUACAUAUAACAGACAACAUUUGUUGCAGAAUACCAACACCGAAUCUAACUGUUAAGGUAAUACAAUAUUUACAUUCAGAAUGAAACAUCAGCAUCAGCAUCCAUGUCAGUCACCUCUCUAACAAGAUUUUUGGUAGAAGGCAAACCAGCAGUAACUUCUCCUUCAAUCCCACAUUCGUUUGUCCCUCUUUUGAUCUUGAAGUAACCAUCCUGCGGUUUAGUAGGUUAAAUUAGUUCAUUAGCUAAGAUAUAUCUUAAGUAACAAAUAUUCAAGCUGAAGAAUAAUAAAGAAACAUACAUCUCCCCACUCUCUAUUCCACUGAUUUGCAAGAAGCUGAAACAGUGAAAAGUACACAAUCAGCGUAUGUAUAUAAUUCUCAAUAGAAGCAUUUAUUUGCAAGUGUCGUGGUUUAAAAUCAUGAACAAGUUAUUGUCCACACACCCAAUAGUCAUCUCCAUCCUCACUUGUUCCCCAUCCAAUCAGCUUUACUGCAUGACCGCCUAGUGGAUAACCUGUGAUGUGUUUGUAAACUCCUGAUUUGUAGUGAGCAAAAUCCUGUCAAUAGAUCAAACGAGUCAAAGGUAUGCAAAAGUGAUGGAAACUAUCCCGGUUCAAAAGAAAAUAGAUAUGAAAAAUGCAAACAAAGAGCAUACGAGAUUUGGUCACAGACUUCGAGCAAUAGUGUCUACGUCUUUGACAGCAGAGCGAUUGUAGUAUUUUUCAAUUAUGAUUCAAACUUUAGGUUAAAAAUUACAACUUGUGUUUAAAUACUUAUUAGUAUACUACGAGUGACUAGUGUAUAAGAUUUCCCUAAACCGUAUUACUGGGAGCUCGAGUGACCUGCCCACUUAUUAGUAUACUACGAGUCACACUCAACAAAAAGGAUGGGAGAACGGUCCCAAAUAUUUUUUUGUUAAUUGAAAGGUCACUGACAAAGAGGGGAUAUAUUAAUAGCUUAAACGAGAAGGAAGUCUAUAUUGAUCUAUUCGUGUCUUAUAAGUGGUAUAGAAAGUUGCAGUAGGAGUGUUAUGUUGUGUCCCCAAUAGUUCUGAUUCAGAAUACUAGUUUCUAACUUAAAACUGUAUCAUCUAUCUCAAAGCACAAAAAAUGACAAUUGACAAAUGAAAUGGAAAAAAAUAAAAAGAGAUAAAGUUAUGAAAGAAAAGAAAAGGAAUAUAAUAUAACACAAAUCUAAUAUGUGAGGAGGUAUAUGGCAUAUAUUAUAACAUGGCAUAGAAGGAAGGAACAACAUUAAGUUAAUGGGAGACUUGAGGUUAAGUGCGCCAACCAACCCAAACAGGAGUAACAGGGAAAGUGACAACGGUAGAAACUUAGCAUGUGUCUACGACGAUUAUUGAGUCGUCUUGAAAACAUCUAGAUUAUCAAACAGUUUUUAGUAGUCUGUGACAAAAAAUGUUGCUUUAAAAUCAGUUUCCUCUGCCUCAAUAAAAUAAAUAAAUCAGUUUUAAUAGCAUGGUGGCCAAACGCAAUGCUUUCUCCCAACCCACUACUUUGUAAUAUUUAGCUGUGAUGUGACUUUGCUAUUGAUUCAAUUUUUCUUGUAGCUUAUCAAACCAUCACUUUUCAACUUUUACCAGUAUUUCAUAUAAGGUGUCUUACUCCUUCAUGAAAAACCUUGAAAGACUAAUACUCAUCUUCAAAAUUUAAUUGCAAAAGGCUGGGCAAAAGCUUUCAUUUUUACCUCAUAAACUGUGAAUGCAACUUCAACUGGCCCAUUCUUAUAAACUUCUGCCAUGAUAUCUUCAGGAUCAGAGUGGACCCUAUAUGCUUUGACACUAAAGUGCUUUGACUCCUUCCAAAGCUGGUGCUUUGAUUUCUUCGAAAGCUGGUUUCCAUUUACACACUUUCUAACACACCUGGGAGUUUUAUAUGCUGGCUCACAACCAGGAUGAGAACAUCCAAUUUGAUCAAAGUAUGGAUCACACUAGCAGAUGCAAAAAAAUUACAGACCAUAAGAAAGGCAGGAUUAUAUAGUCUCUACUAAACAAUGAAGAGAAUGAAAAUUUGUUACCUCUUCAGUGACAACACCAUGUUGAGCUAAGUAUCGCCAUGCUGAAAGGGGAUCCCCUCCAUCACAGCCAGACCCACAAAGAAAGCCGCAGCAUGCAAGAAGGUCAUUAACAGAGAGGGAUACAUUCUGCAAUUGAACAUAUAGGAUUAUUAGAUCAACAACUCCGGUUCAAAAGAAACAGAUAUGAAAAUGGUAAACAAAGAGCACACAAGGUUUGAUUACGGAGUUCGACCAAUUAUGCCUACGUCUUGGAGAGUGGUUGCAGUUUCUUUCUAUUAUUCAUGCUAAGGGUUACAAAUUACAACUUGUGUUUAAAUACUAUGAUCCAAAUUACAACAUUACCCUGCCCACUUAUUCAAGGACGUGCCUACUUAACACUAAACUAUGAGUCAUCCACAACAAUGAUGUUAGUUCCUAUUUCAAAAGGUCAAGUCCCUCAAGUAUGUGUGUGCAUAGAGAUAAGGUCUACAUAUUUAUGGUGAAUAUGCACACAACUACACAUAAUAAGAAAAAGUUUCUUAAUUGCUUUGGUGAAAAGUUUACUUACCACAUCAAAAUGAAUGCAAAAACGAUCUGAUAAUGAUUCAACAGCACCAAAUGCCCAACAAGAACCACAAUGGCCCUGAAUCAUAAUCAUCCCAAAUAUCAAUUAAGAACUUCAUGGUCAGAGAAGCACAGUGAAUCCUGAACAUAAGAAAAGUAGCUAAAAUGAGGAAAUAAGAUAACUACCUGAUCUUUAGUGAGAAAAUAGGUUCAGCAAUCCAUGUUAUUGUCAAUAAUGAAAAAGAAGAGUCAGCACCUAUUGCAAAAUGCAGUUUUUAAAAAGAUAAGGAGAAGGAGAAAGUAGGGGAUGACCAAGAAUUCUUCCAAUAGUGCUACACUGAGACCAAGCUGUCCUUGCAUCAAAAUCCUUUGGCAGUUUGAAUGAUUUUGGAUGAGUUACAAUAGGUGUAUUUAUCAGUUCGUUCCUAGGCGUUUGUUUGACUCCAAGAAGGCGCUUAAAUUGUCCAACCUGUGCAUCAAACACAAUGCCUUUCAUACUCAAAACAUACAUUUCAUGCAACUAAGUAUGUGCAAGUGAAAUGCUCUUUAAAGGGUAUUUAAGAAAGACUUAAAUAUCAAUUUUCUCCAUAUAAAAUGUUUUUAUUUGGUUAUAAUCUUAAAAAACAUAAGAAAAUUUACUUUUUAUUUUGUUAUAAUCUCUCUUAUUAUAUUUGUUCGUGUCAGCUUAGUGGUUAGAACUUAACUUUGUAACUUCAAAGGAUGAAGUCCAAAUCUCAUUUAUGGUUGUUGUAAAAAUAGUUAUUAGUGUCACCGUUUAUUAAUAACAACUUUUUUCUUUGUAUUAAAAUUAAUAUUUAUAUAGUUUGUAUGUGAAGACCAAAAUCAAUAGUUUACCUAACAUCGAGAUUAGAGUCCUUAUUGGACAAAUAGUUUAAUUAAAUGUUUAUUAUAAGAGUUAUAUUAAUAAGUGUCCUUAUGAAUUAUGAUACUUGUUAAGCAACAAAAAGAAAAUAAAAAACAAUGAGAAAAAAUAUUACUUUUUACAAUUUUAAAAUAUAAAUUAUACAAGUUUUAAGAUUUUCUUUUUUUUACAUUUAGAUUCUUAAUAAGUACUCAAAGACACUUAUUAGCAUUUCUAUUAUUAUAAAAGUGUUUAUGAAUAAAAUAUUUCUAUCAUAAAAGAUAAAUAAAAAUAAAACUGUUUUUGUUUUUAUAUGUUAUUUUUCAUAACUUAUCCUGUUUUUAUCCUCAACUAAGAAGUAUGUAAUAAUUUAUAAAUUAUUUUGAUAAGUUCUCUCAAAAAGUAUGUAAGUGGUUAUACCAUUACAUAAACUCAAAUAAUUUAAUACGAAUAGACCGUGUAACCGAUAUAACCAGAAUAUACAUGUACAAACAAAAAUAAUAAGAAUUAAAAAAAGUUAUUUCUAUACUUUAAAGACUAAAAUCGAAAAGAAAGAGAAAAAAAACUAAGACUAAAACAGAAAAGUGCUAAAAAAAAAAAAAUUAAAAAUUGAUAAAAAUGAAAAUAAUAUGUUGGGGAAAUUGAAGCGUAACCGUAAAAUUGGAGAAACGAGGAUUAAUGGCAGCCUUCCAUCCUGCCCCUGGGUUUUCGUUAAUCUGUUUAGCAAUAGACUCCUGCGUGAUAAUAAUAAAAAUAAUAACGUUAAAAAGAUUUAUUCAUCAAUCAAAUAUAUACAUGGCACCACGAAUUCAACCAUAUAUAUUCAAAUUCAAACAUUGAUCGUUACCUGAAGGAUAUGAGAAUUAAGCUUGAGUUGAGUAAGUUGAUUCGUUUCCGCCUCAACGAUCUGUCAAUAGUCAACAACGUUGUAAUUUCAAACAGAAUAAAACAAAAUAGCAAGCGGAAAAAAAGAACGGAGCAUGAUCAAUGAAAUCGUAAGUAGAAAUGAAAGUGAAGAAGAAAAAAAUACCCAAAGAUAAGAAGCGGAUAAAGCUAAUAAUAAGGUUGCCAGGGGCAGAACUGUUGGAGCCAUUUUGAUCGUUUGAGUUGUGGAUGGAUGGAAGAAUGAAAAGGAAUCUAAGAAUCAGAGCUUGUAUUUAUAGUACAUACAUUAAUUAAUUCAUUAUCAUUUUUUUUUUGGUCAUAAGAUGGAGUAAUUAUCUUGGCGUACGCAACUUGGGUUGGUGGUGCGAUGCACAUUCACGAUAAAUCACUAAAUAAUAAAUAAAUUUAAUCAAAACAAAACAAAUAAAUAAAUAUUUUUACUUUUUUGCUAAUUUCCUAUUUUUUCAAUAAUAUCCCGAUAUGUUAAGUGAAUUACUUGAUCUACGUGAAUUUAAAUAUAAACAAAGAUAAAGAUUUAAAAUUAAGUUCACAUAAUUUGAGUGUAACAGAAUAUAAUAUAUGUAAAACUAAUAUCAUAUGUUUGUUUGUUUUUUAGAUGUUUGCUUAUUUACACUCAAAUAUUAGUAAAUGAUAACUACAAAAAUAGGAAGCUUCUUAGUGUUGUUAAAUGUAGACAAAUGUAAAAAAAAAAAAGUAAAUAUUUCAAUUUAAAAAACAAAUUCAAUUACAUCCCAACAUCUUUGUUUAUAUUGUUUUCUUUAACAAACUAUUACGUCUUUUAAUCUCAUAUGUAUAAAUAUGUUUUAUAUUAUAUGAAAAAUGUAUAUACGGUGUCUAUUUUCAUAUAUACAACAAACGGUUAUAAUUUUCUUUUAUUUUUUUAAUUUAAAAAAGACAAAUACGUAAAUUAGUUUGUCAAAGGGACGGGCUGAUAAUUGAGCAAUGAACAAUACGUAUAAUGGACGAAAAGUUUGGCUUUGGGUCCAAAGUGAUGGGAUUGAUUUGACACAGAAAAAUAAAAUCAUAAGAGGACAAGACCACCCAACAACAAAAUUAGAGAGAGUCGUUUGUUCAAAUUCCAAAAAUAGAUCGGUCUGUAGAUAUUUUUCUCUACCUUGAAAAUAUCAUGCAUCUAGUCUCCAAUCAAGUGGCCGCGUUAUGGGCUUGCCUGCACCCUGUUACUCGAUCCACACAUCACCACCCAAUGAGUUUUUUAAAAGGUUCUUUGCUAACAGACAAUACUAUUUGGAAUUUUUUUUACAUAUUUAAAUUUGUUGCCUUAUAGGAGUAAAAGUUAACUUCUAAUUUGUAAAAUGAAUAUUUUUCUUUUAUCACUCGUUCGUGAUUUGUGUUUUCAGUUUCCUUACUAUUUGCAAGUUGCAAAUCUUUAUUUGUGAUUUCAAUACACUAUCUUUUUUAUGAUACUAAACAUUUUAUUCGUCAUUUUAGAUUAUAUUUUUUAGAAUAUCUCUAGCGCAGGAUUCUUUGUGCGUCCCUUAGAAUAGUUGUCAUUCCUUAAAUUUUUUUGGUACCUGCCGGUGAGCCACAAACACGAACCUUCUCCUUAGUGGCCUCACCAAGAAUGAACUAGUUCUUUGCCGCAAACAAACCAUAUUCCUACUGAUUAUGUUGCAUAUAUGAGAGGAUAGAAGCUUCAAUUCUGAAAGAGACGAUUGAGAUGAGAGAGAGAUUAAGGUUGUGAGAAGCGAGGGAGAUAAGAGGGAGAGUUGAUUGACUUUGAGAGAGCGAAAUGAGACGAACAAGAGGGGGAGGAGCAGGACAAAAGGGAGAGUGAGCAAGAGGGACACGAGGUAGUUGGGAGAGAUAGACACAAUUUGAUGAACCUCAUUGACAAAUCGUUAUCUCCUUAUUUGCUAUUAGAUUCCAUUUGUGAGUUACAACACUUACCCACUCCCAAAUAUCUCUUUUUCACAACAAAUAUAGACGCAAAUAGCCAAGUUACGUGCAUUGAUAAAAUAAAGAUAUUUACAUCUCAGUAUUUGGAUUGAUAUAUUGCCAACACAAAAUCUAACUGUUAAGGUAAUACUAUAUUUAC
rnacentral:lncRNA from 1 species